CCUACGGGUGGCAGCAGUGAGGAAUAUUGGUCAAUGGGCGCAAGCCUGAACCAGCCAAGUCGCGUGAGGGAAGACGGCCCUACGGGUUGUAAACCUCUUUUGCCGGGGAGCAAGCCUCAGCACGUUUGCCCAGGCGGAGAGUCCCCGGAGAAAAAGCAUGGGCUAACCCCGUUCGAGCAGCCGCGGUAAUACGGAGGAUCUGAGCGUUACCCGGUUUUAUUGGGUUUAAAGGGAGCGUACAUGGGUUGUUAAGUCAGUUGUGAAAGUUGGCGGCUCAAACGUAAAAUUGCAGUUGAUACUGGCAGUCUUGAGUACAGUAGAGGUAGGCGGAAUUCGUGGUGUAGCGGUGAAAUGCUUAGAUAUCACGAAGAACUCCGAUUGCGAAGGCAGCCUACUAAACUGCCACUGACGCUGAUGCUCGAAAGUGUGGGUAUCAAACAGGAUUAGAUACCCGUGUAGUC
rnacentral:rRNA from 1 species